GUGAGGAAUAUUGGUCAAUGGGCGAGAGCCUGAACCAGCCAAGUCGCGUGAAGGAAGAAGGAUCUAUGGUUCGUAAACUUCUUUUGCAGGGGAAUAAAGUGCAGGACGUGUUCUGUUUUGUAUGUACCCUGAGAAUAAGGAUCGGCUAACUCCGUGCCAGCAGCCGCGGUAAUACGGAGGAUCCGAGCGUUAUCCGGAUUUAUUGGGUUGAAAGGGUGCGUAGGUGGUUUGAUAAGUCAGCGGUGAAAGUUUGCAGCUUAACUGUAAAAAUGCCGUUAGAACGGUCGGACUUGAGUGUAAAUGAGGUAGGCGGAAUACGUGGUGUAGCGGUAAAAUACAUAGAUAUCACGAAGAACUCCGAUUGCGAAGGCAGCUUACUAAGCUACAACUGACACUGAACCACGAAAGCGUGGUGAUCAAACAGGAUUAGAAACCCUUGUAGUCC
rnacentral:rRNA from 1 species